CGGGCGCCGGGCGGGGGAGGAGCCUCGCGGCGUCGCGUGCGGUCCCGGGCCACCCGGGUCCGUCUGCCGCAAUCCUCAGGCAUCCGCAGCCCCCGCGCCGUAGCUCGCGGCGCCCGGGGUGAUUACGGGCUGCCUCUGUCCUGGUCAUUGGUAACACAGGAUGAGGAGAAGCUGCAAGGUUUUCUUGAUGUUCACAGGUUCCAAAAUGGGACAGCCUGAGGUGACGGAGCACGACGAGGAGGGUCUCAUGUCUGCUGUCCCACAUAUGUGAGAGGUGACCUCCGGGAGAACCAGGAUCGGGAGGUCCCAGGUGGGUCUGCACUUGCAGAGGCACCAUGAGAGGUGUCAUCUCUUCAGUGGGCACGAGGCCAUGGGGCCCAAGGUAAGGUGUUCACAUCUCUCUGGAAUCUUGUGCCCUGGGGUUUAAAUGAGAAGUGAGAUGAAAGUGUAUGUCUUGUGAG
rnacentral:lncRNA from 1 species